GCCGGGCGCGGUGGCACGUGCCUGUAGUCCCAGCUACUCGGGAGGCUGAGGCUGGAGGAUCGCUUGAGCCAGGAGUUCUGGGCUGUAGUGCGCUAUGCCGAUCGGGUGUCCGCACUAAGUUCAGCAUCAAUAUGGUGACCUCCCGGGAGUGGGGGACCACCAGGUUGCCUAAGGAGGGAUGAACUGGCCCAGGUCGGAAAUGGAGCAGGUCAAAACUCCUGUGCUGAUCAGUAGCAGGAUCGUGCCUGUGAAUAGCCACUGCACUCCAGCCUGGGCAACAUAGCGAGACCCCGUCUCU
rnacentral:SRP_RNA from 1 species